CCUAAUACAUGCAAGUCGAACGGGGGUGCUUGCACCUCAGUGGCGAACGGGUGAGUAACACGUAUCUAACCUACCUUAUAGCGGGGGAUAACUUUUGGAAACGAAAGAUAAUACCGCAUGUAGAUCUUAUUAUCGCAUGAGAAAAGAUCAAAAGAACCGUUUGGUUCACUAUGAGAUGGGGAUGCGGCGUAUUAGCUAGUAGGUGAGAUAAUAGCCCACCUAGGCGAUGAUACGUAGCCGAACUGAGAGGUUGAUCGGCCACAUUGGGACUGAGAUACGGCCCAGACUCCUACGGGAGGCAGCAGUAGGGAAUUUUUCACAAUGGACGAAAGUCUGAUGAAGCAAUGCCGCGUGAGUGAUGACGGCCUUCGGGUUGUAAAGCUCUGUUGUAAGGGAAGAAAAAAUAAAGUAGGAAAUGACUUUAUCUUGACAGUACCUUACCAGAAAGCCACGGCUAACUAUGUGCCAGCAGCCGCGGUAAUACAUAGGUGGCAAGCGUUAUCCGGAUUUAUUGGGCGUAUAGGGUGCGUAGGCGGUUUUGCAAGUUUGAGGUUAAAGUCCGGAGCUCAACUCCGGUUCGCCUUGAAAACUGUAUUACUAGAAUGCAAGAGAGGUAAGCGGAAUUCCAUGUGUAGCGGUGAAAUGCGUAGAUAUAUGGAAGAACACCUGUGGCGAAAGCGGCUUACUG
rnacentral:rRNA from 1 species